rnacentral:rRNA from 1 species
AUACGGAGGGGGCAAGCGUUGUUCGGAAUUACUGGGCGUAAAGCGCGCGUAGGCGGUCCGUUUAGUUAGGCGUGAAAGGCCUGGGCUCAACCCGGGAACUGCGUUUAAAACUGGCGGGCUAGAGUCCGGGAGAGGGUGGCGGAAUUCCCAGUGUAGAGGUGAAAUUCGUAGAUAUUGGGAAGAACACCAGUGGCGAAGGCGGCCACCUGGCCCGGUACUGACGCUGAGGUGCGAAAGCGUGGGGAGCAAACAGGAUUAGAUACCCCGGUAGUCC